rnacentral:rRNA from 1 species
AUUGAACGCUGGCGGCAUGCCUAACACAUGCAAGUCGAGCGGAGCGGCGGACGGGUGAGUAAUGCCUAGGGAUCUGCCUGGUAGCGGGGUCUAACGUCCGGAAACGGGCGCUCAUACCGCAUACUAUCAGAUGACCCUAGGUCGGAUUAGCUAGUUGGUGGGUUAAAGGCCUACCAAGGCGACGAUCCGUAACUGGUCUGAGAGGAUGAUCAGUAACACUGGAACUGAGACACGGUCCAGACUCCUACGGGAGGCAGCAGUGGGGAAUAUUGGACAAUGGGCGAAAGCCUGAUCCGGCCAGGCCGCGUGUGUGAAGAAGGUCUUCGGAUUGUAAAGCACUUUAAGUUGGGAGGCGUUACCAACAGAAUAAGCACCGGCUAACUUCGUGCCAGCAGCCGCGGUAAUAC